AACAUUAGGUGAUCAUCCCGCGUUAUGCCGCGGUUUUUUCAGAUUUUUUUUAU
rnacentral:sRNA from 1 species